rnacentral:rRNA from 1 species
CCUACGGGAGGCAGCAGUGGGGAAUAUUGGACAAUGGGCGAAAGCCUGAUCCAGCAAUUCCGCGUGUGUGAAGAAGGCCUUCGGGUUGUAAAGCACUUUAGUGGGGAAGAAACAGCUUGGCCACACCAAGCCUUGACGGUACCCCCGAAGAAUAAGCACCGGCUAACUCUGUGCCAGCAGCCGCGGUAAUACAGAGGGUGCAAGCGUUAAUCGGAUUUACUGGGCGUAAAGGGUGCGUAGGUGGCUAUUUAAGUCGGAUGUGAAAAGCCCCGGGGCUCAACCUCGGAAUUGCAUUCGAUACUGAGUGGCUAGAGUUCGGUAGAGGGCGGCGGAAUUUCCGGUGUAGCGGUGAAAAUGCGUAGAUAUCGGAAGGAACAUCAAUGGCGAAGGCAGCCGCCUGGGCCUGGACUGACACUGAGGCACGAAAGCGUGGGUAGCAAACAGGAUUAGAUACCCCUGGUAGUCCACGCCGUAAACGAUGAGAACUUGACGUGGUCGUUUUACGAAUCGGUGUCGCNGCUACGACGAUAAGUUACUCCGUCCGUCGGGUAGGUACGGCCGGCCGAAGGUUAGGUAAACGUACGAAAGGAAAGUUAGUACGGCGUGAGACGUAGCCGAACGGACGACGACGAGGGAGGUAGG